UGCAAGUCGAACGAGUUCUGAUUAUUGAAAGGUGCUUGCAUCUUGAUUUAAUUUUGAACGAGUGGCGGACGGGUGAGUAACACGUGGGUAACCUGCCCUUAAGUGGGGGAUAACAUUUGGAAACAGAUGCUAAUACCGCAUAAAUCCAAGAACCGCAUGGUUCUUGGCUGAAAGAUGGCGUAAGCUAUCGCUUUUGGAUGGACCCGCGGCGUAUUAGCUAGUUGGUGAGGUAACGGCUCACCAAGGCAAUGAUACGUAGCCGAACUGAGAGGUUGAUCGGCCACAUUGGGACUGAGACACGGCCCAAACUCCUACGGGAGGCAGCAGUAGGGAAUCUUCCACAAUGGACGCAAGUCUGAUGGAGCAACGCCGCGUGAGUGAAGAAGGCUUUCGGGUCGUAAAACUCUGUUGUUGGAGAAGAAUGGUCGGCAGAGUAACUGUUGUCGGCGUGACGGUAUCCAACCAGAAAGCCACGGCUAACUACGUGCCAGCAGCCGCGGUAAUACGUAGGUGGCAAGCGUUAUCCGGAUUUAUUGGGCGUAAAGCGAGCGCAGGCGGUUUUUUAAGUCUGAUGUGAAAGCCCUCGGCUUAACCGAGGAAGUGCAUCGGAAACUGGGAAACUUGAGUGCAGAAGAGGACAGUGGAACUCCAUGUGUAGCGGUGAAAUGCGUAGAUAUAUGGAAGAACACCAGUGGCGAAGGCGGCUGUCUGGUCUGUAACUGACGCUGAGGCUCGAAAGCAUGGGUAGCGAACAGGAUUAGAUACCCUGGUAGUCCAUGCCGUAAACGAUGAAUGCUAGGUGUUGGAGGGUUUCCGCCCUUCAGUGCCGCAGCUAACGCAUUAAGCAUUCCGCCUGGGGAGUACGACCGCAAGGUUGAAACUCAAAGGAAUUGACGGGGGCCCGCACAAGCGGUGGAGCAUGUGGUUUAAUUCGAAGCAACGCGAAGAACCUUACCAGGUCUUGACAUCUUUUGAUCACCUGAGAGAUCAGGUUUCCCCUUCGGGGGCAAAAUGACAGGU
rnacentral:rRNA from 1 species